rnacentral:rRNA from 1 species
AGGGAUUGCCCUAGUAACGGCGAGUGAAGCGGCAACAGCUCAAAUUUGAAAUCUGGCGCAAGCCCGAGUUGUAAUUUGUAGAGGAUGCUUCUAGGUAGCGACCGGUCUAAGUUCCUUGGAACAGGACGUCAUAGAGGGUGAGAAUCCCGUAUGUGACCGGCCCGCACCUUCUACGUAGCUCCUUCGACGAGUCGAGUUGUUUGGGAAUGCAGCUCUAAAUGGGAGGUAAAUUUCUUCUAAAGCUAAAUACCGGCCAGAGACCGAUAGCGCACAAGUAGAGUGAUCGAAAGAUGAAAAGCACUUUGGAAAGAGAGUUAAAAAGCACGUGAAAUUGUUGAAAGGGAAGCGCUCACAACCAGACUUCUGGGCGGUGUUCCGCCGGUCUUCUGACCGGUCUACUCGCCGUCCCGAGGCCAACAUCAUCUGGGACCGCCGGAUAAGACCUCAGGAAUGUAGCUUCCCUCGGGAAGUGUUAUAGCCUGUGGUGAUGCGGCGCGUCUCGGGUGAGGUCCGCGCUUCGGCAAGGAUGUUGGCGUAAUGGUUGUCAGCGGCCCGUCUUGAAACACGGACCAAGGAGUCUAACAUCUAUGCGAGUGUUCGGGUGUCAAACCCCUACGCGUAAUGAAAGUGAACGGAGGUGGGAAGCGCAAGCUGCACCAUCGACCGAUCCUGAUGUCCUCGGAUGGAUUUGAGUAAGAGCAUAGCUGUUGGGACCCGAAAGAUGGUGAACUAUGCCUGAAUAGGGUGAAGCCAGAGGAAACUCUGGUGGAGGCUCGCAGCGGUUCUGACGUGCAAAUCGAUCGUCAAAUUUGGGUAUAGGGGCGAAAGACUAAUCGAACCAU